CUCUGUGACUCCUACGGGAGGCAGCAGUGGGGAAUAUUGCACAAUGGGCGCAAGCCUGAUGCAGCAACGCCGUGUGAGUGAAGAAGGUUUUCGGAUCGUAAAACUCUGUCCUAAGGGAAGAAACAAAUGACGGUACCUUAGGAGGAAGCCCCGGCUAACUACGUGCCAGCAGCCGCGGUAAUACGUAGGGGCAAGCGUUAUCCGGAAUCACUGGGCGUAAAGGGGUGCGUAGGCGGCUUAGCAAGCCAGGGGUGAAAGGCAUUGGCUCAACCAAUGUAAGCCUUUGGAACUGUUAGGCUUGAGUGCAGGAGAGGUAAGUGGAAUUCCUAGUGUAGAGGUGAAAUUCGUAGAUAUUAGGAGGAACACCAGUGGCGAAGGCGACUUACUGGACUGUAACUGACGCUGAUGCACGAAAGCGUGGGUAGCGAACAGGAUUAGAUACCCUGGAG
rnacentral:rRNA from 1 species